GAUGAACGCUGGCGGCGUGCCUAAUACAUGCAAGUCGAACGCAUUGUGGUUGAAAUGAUAUGAAGAACUUGUUCAGAUUUGAUUUUCAACAUUGCAAUGAGUGGCGAACGGGUGAGUAACACGUGGGAAACCUACCUCUUAGCAGGGGAUAACAUUUGGAAACAAAUGCUAAUACCGUAUAAUAAUUAAAACCGCAUGGUUUUAGUUUAAAAGAUGGUCUUGCUAUCACUAAGAGAUGGUCCCGCGGUGUAUUAGUUAGUUGGUGAGGUAAUGGCUCACCAAGACAAUGAUACAUAGCCGAGUUGAGAGACUGGCCGGCCACAAUGGGACUGAGACACGGCCCAGACUCCUACGGGAGGCAGCAGUAGGGAAUCUUCCACAAUGGACGAAAGUCUGAUGGAGCAACGCCGCGUGUGUGAUGAAGGGUUUCGGCUCGUAAAACACUGUUGUAAGAGAAGAGUGACAUUGAGAGUAACUGUUCAAUGU
rnacentral:rRNA from 1 species